GACGAACGCUGGCGGCGGGCCUAACACAUGCAAGCCGAACGGAAUGGCCUUGCUAUCGUGGGGACCACGAGUGGCGAACGGGUGAGUAACACGAGCGUAACCUGCCCCUGACUUUGGGAUAACUAUAGGCAACUGGGGCUAAUAUUGGAUAGGAGUACCAGCUUCAUUGUCGGGGUUGGAAAGUUUCGGCGGUUGGAGAUGGACACGCGGCUUAUCAGCUUGCUGGUGGGGUAGGGGAUUACCAAGGCUAUGACGGGUAGCCGGCCUGAGACGGUGACCGGGAACAUUAGGACAGUGAUACGGCCCAGACUCCUGCGGGAGACAGCAGUAGGGAAUAUUGCACGAUGGGCGGAAGCCUGAUGAAGCAACGCCGCGAGCUGGAUGACAGCCUUCGGGUUGUAAACCGCAAUCCCAUGUGCCGGAGCGUGGAUGACGGUAAUGGGUAAAGAAGCACCGGCUAACUACGUG
rnacentral:rRNA from 1 species